GAAAAAAAUAACUAUGUGAUUUACAACAAUAGUUUGUAUGAUUAUGUCAACGUAAUUGUGUAUUUAUGGAACAAUAAGAACAAAUAAAAAUUUAACAGUCCCGAUUUAUAUAAUAUCUGGGUGUUAUAUUUCUAUAAUGGAUAGGAAUGACUUCUAUAUCAAUACUGACCUCAGAAUUGAUGACAAAGACAUUGACCUUGCAAUUCAGAGAGGCGAACUUAACGUAUCUGAUAUUGUAAUUAAAGGAAGACAUUUAAAUCACGUCUCUCAUAUAGUACUUUAGAUAAUGAGGUAUCGAAGGACCUAGAUUUCCGUCAAGCUCUCACUGAUAUGAUCACUGGAAAUCAAGAAAAAACUUCUUUGUAUAACUAAUAAUUAUGACAUCACUGCUUUAGUUGCGGUAUUAUUUUCAGAGGUAAUCAGAAAUCCAGUAUGAUAUUUAUAAACCUAAUUGCAUGACAAUGGGAUUCCUUACAUUGUUGGACUGACUUCCACCAGCACCUGCCACCUUAGCUGGGGGAACCUGGAAAAAUAAACAGGAGUACUGUCCCAAAUUUAUGGAACGGCUAAACUUUUUUUUUUUCAAAAACAUUUUCUGAAACAUUUUCUGAAAUUAUUGAAGAUGGAUUUUCUUUGAAAAUUGAAUUAUUUGAGAAAGUUGUCCUUCAUGGAAGGGGUGGGUGGUGAGGGUCCAAAUAAAACAAAAUAAAACAUCCCAAAAUGUUAUUAAAAUAUCAACAAAUUCAUCUUCAAUAUCCCCCACGUUGCUCCACCUCCGCUUCUGGGAGGAGCCAGAGCGGGGCCACAGAGCGGAGUCCUCCAUCUCAUCCCACCAACUCUGUCAGUCCACCAGGCCACUGCAAGUAACAGCCACAUCUUCACGUCACAAAGCUUCAGUACUAUCUCAAUGGGUUGAAGUACCUCCAGGAUCCUGUGGCAACGUCAAUGUGAAACAGCAUUGAUCCGUGAUCACCACCAACCAGGCCUCC